rnacentral:rRNA from 1 species
GCAGCGACACUAUGUGUUGUUGGGUAGGGGAGCGUUCUGUAAGCCUGCGAAGGUGACCUGUGAGGGUUGCUGGAGGUAUCAGAAGUGCGAAUGCUGACAUAAGUAACGAUAAAGCGGGUGAAAAGCCCGCUCGCCGGAAGACCAAGGGUUCCUGUCCAACGUUAAUCGGGGCAGGGUGAGUCGACCCCUAAGGCGAGGCCGAAAGGCGUAGUCGAUGGGAAACAGGUUAAUAUUCCUGUACUUGGUGUUACUGCGAAGGGGGGACGGAGAAGGCUAUGUUAGCCGGGCGACGGUUGUCCCGGUUUAAGCAUGUAGGCUGAUUGUCCAGGCAAAUCCGGAUAAUCAAGGCUGAGGUGUGAUGACGAGGCACUACGGUGCUGAAGUAACAAAUGCCCUGCUUCCAGGAAAAGCCUCUAAGCAUCAGGUAACAUCAAAUCGUACCCCAAACCGACACAGGUGGUCAGGUAGAGAAUACCAAGGCGCUUGAGAGAACUCGGGUGAAGGAACUAGGCAAAAUGGUGCCGUAACUUCGGGAGAAGGCACGCUGGUGUGUAGGUGAAGUCCCUGCGGAUGGAGCUGAGACCAGUCGAAGAUACCAGCUGGCUGCAACUGUUUAUUAAAAACAC